rnacentral:rRNA from 1 species
UACGUAGGGCGCAAGCGUUGUCCGGAAUUAUUGGGCGUAAAGAGCUCGUAGGCGGCUUGUCACGUCGGGUGUGAAAGCCCGGGGCUUAACCCCGGGUCUGCAUUCGAUACGGGCAGGCUAGAGUGUGGUAGGGGAGAUCGGAAUUCCUGGUGUAGCGGUGAAAUGCGCAGAUAUCAGGAGGAACACCGGUGGCGAAGGCGGCUCACUGGUCCAUUACUGACGCUGAGGUGCGAAAGCGUGGGGAGCAAACAGG